CCUACGGGUGGCAGCAGUGAGGAAUAUUGGUCAAUGGUCGAGAGUCUGAACCAGCCAAGCAGCGUGAAGGAUGACUGCCCUAUGGGUUGUAAACUUCUUUUAUAUGGGGAUAAAACAGGGUAUGAAUACCCUGUUGAAUGUACUAUAUGAAUAAGGAUCGGCUAACUCCGUGCCAGCAGCCGCGGUAAUACGGAGGAUCCGAGCGUUAUCCGGAUUUAUUGGGUUUAAAGGGUGCGUAGGUGGAUUGUUAAGUCAGUUGUGAAAGUUUGCGGCUCAACCGUAGAACUGCAGUUGAAACUGGCAGUCUUGAGAACAGUAGAGGUAGGCGGAAUGCGUGGUGUAGCGGUGAAAUGCUUAG
rnacentral:rRNA from 1 species